CUGAAUACAGAGUGGCUCUCCUUCCUCCGCUUCUACAUCAUUCUGAGGAUUCUGAAUACAGGGUGGUGCUCCCUCCGCUUCUACAUCAUUUUGAGGAUUCUGAAUACAGGGUGGCGCUCCCUCCGCUUCUACUACAUCAUUUUGAGGAUUCUGAAUACAGGGUGGUUCUUCUUCCAUACCGGGUGGCUCUCCUUCUUCCUCUUCUACAUCAUUUUGAGGAUUCUGAAUACCGGGUGGCUCUCCUUCUUCCUCUUCUACAUCAUUUUGAGGAUUCUGAAUACCGGGUGGCUCUCCUUCUUCCUCUUCUACAUCAUUUUGAGGAUUCUGAAUACCGGGUGGCUCUCCUUCUUCCUCUUCUACAUCAUUUUGAGGAUUCUGAAUACAGGGUGGCUCUCCUUCUUCCUCUUCUACAUCAUUCUGGGGAUUCUGAAUACAGGGUAGCUCUCCUUCCUCCUCUUGUACAUCAUUUUGACGAUUCGGAAUACAGGGUAGCUCUCCUUCUUCCUCUUCUACAUCAUUUUGAGGAUUCUGAAUACAGGGUGGCUCUCCUUCUUCCUCUUCUACAUCAUUCUGGGGAUUCUGAAUACAGGGUAGCUCUCCUUCCUCCUCUUGUACAUCAUUUUGACGAUUCGGAAUACAGGGUAGCUCUCCUUCUUCCUCUUCUACAUCAUUUUGAGGAUUCUGAAUACAGGGUGGCUCUCCU
rnacentral:lncRNA from 1 species